rnacentral:rRNA from 1 species
UGGGGAAUUUGGACAAUGGGCGAAAGCCUGAUCCAGCAAUGCCGCGUGUGUGAAGAAGGCCUUCGGGUUGUAAAGCACUUUUGUCCGGAAAGAAAUCCUUGGCUCUAAUACAGUCGGGGGAUGACGGUACCGGAAGAAUAAGCACCGGCUAACUACGUGCCAGCAGCCGCGGUAAUACGUAGGGUGCAAGCGUUAAUCGGAAUUACUGGGCGUAAAGCGUGCGCAGGCGGUUUGCUAAGACCGAUGUGAAAUCCCCGGGCUCAACCUGGGAACUGCAUUGGUGACUGGGCAGGCUAGAGUAUGGCAGAGGGGGGUAGAAUUCCACGUGUAGCAGUGAAAUGCGUAGAGAUGUGGAGGAAUACCGAUGGCGAAGGCAGCCCCCUGGGCCAAUACUGACGCUCAUGCACGAAAGCGUGGGGAGCAAACAGGAUUAGAUACCCUGGUAGUCCACGCCCCUAAACGAUGUCAACUAGUUGUUGGGGAUUCAUUUCCUUAGUAACGUAGCUAACGCGUGAAGUUGACCGCCUGGGGAGUACGGUCGCAAGAUU